rnacentral:rRNA from 1 species
GACGAACGCUGGCGGCGUGCUUAAUACAUGCAAGUCAACUGAACUUAGGAUAGCAAUAUUUUAAGGGAGGUGGCGCACGGGUGAGUAACACGUAGGUAAUCUGCCUUUAGGUCUGACAUAACCUACCGAAAGGUAGGCUAAAAUCAGAUGAUGCAGCGGCUCGACAUCGAGACAGUUGUUAAAUCUUCGGAGCCUAAAGAUGAGCCUGCGUCUGAUUAGGUAGUUGGCGGUGUAAAUGGACCACCAAGCCUGCGAUCAGUAGCUGGUCUGAGAGGAUGAUCAGCCACACUGGAACUGAGACACGGUCCAGACUCCUACGGGAGGCAGCAGUAAGGAAUAUUGCUCAAUGGCCGAAAGGCUGAAGCAGCAACGCCGCGUGGAGGAUGAAAUACUUUGUAUGUAAACUCCUGUAAGAAGGGAAAAAUGUUCCGAUUCAUCGGAAUUGAUUGUACUUCAGAGUUAAAGCCCCGGGCUAACUACGUGCCAGCAGCCG